CCAGAGAACACCAGCAUAUCAGGGAGGCAGAUCAGCAUUGGCAUGGAGGUGGCAAUAACCUCCAUGCAUGGUAACUUCACCUCCUGACACAGUGCAGUAUGGAGGAUGUCAGGCCAUAGGGUAACGCUGACAAAAGUGACUCUUAUCUUCCCAAGAGUUCAAUCUCUCUGCAAGAAAGCAAAGGUGAAGAGGUGACACAGCAGGAGCUCUCAGGUUGUGCAGGGAUUUAGCAGGCUGUGGAGAUCUGGCCCUCAACUCUGUGGCCGCUGGAGCUGAAAAGGAGUGUCACACGUCUCUUUGAGGUUUUCCUUGCUGCUUACCCUGCUGAAACAUUUUCUGCCUCAGGCUAAGUGGUUCAUGGCUCUUGGCUCAUUGCUGUUACAAGACAUUUAUGUUUCAUGGCAGAUGGUCUACUGCACAACUUGUUCCUUAUUUUAACCAAGGUAGAUCAGCAGGCGGUGGUCCAGUCUCAGUUAGCUCUGCGUUGGGAUUUCAGUAUUAUCCCACAUUUCUUUAAAGCAAAAGAAAGAAAAAAAAAAAGCAGGGUCUGAGGGAGAAAAGUUUUCAUACAAGAUUUAUCAGGUUUUAUAGUGUAGUUGGCACAUAUUUUGUGAAGGCCAAAUAUGAUGUCACGAGCACUUUCAGAGAAUCAUUAAAAUACAAAAUAAUGAGUGAACACCACAAUGCUUUGUGACUGAAUGCAUGAAAAUGCACUGACUUUAAGCUAAGCUGCAUGGAAUUUGACCUUGGCACAAAUUAUGGCUUUUCGCCACCUGGUUUGUGACCUGUGCCUUUUCAAACGAUUUGUAGAUUUAAUUUACAAUGCAUUUCUAUAUACAGAGGAAAAGUGCUACAACUUUAUCUGUCCAUGGAGUCCCAGCAGUCUCAGCUUGCCAGAUGUUCCUUACUCAUUUAAACAGUGCAUUGAGCUUUGCUGAGUAUGAUAAUUUUGAAAUGCAAAGAGUAUGGGGAGACAUAAUGAAGAGUUAGAGUUAGCGGGUAUAAGGGUAAAAUGUUUCAAGAAAAAGAUCUAUUUGUCAUUUGUCCAGCUGCAUUACCGUAACUCUGGGUAUUAAUUGUCAUGCAAACACCUACAGGUGACUCUGAGCAUAAAUUGUGUUUUGAUUUCUUAAAGCCAGAAACUUGAUCAAUAGCCUUCAUUUAAAAAUAGGACCAUGCUACAGACAAAAUCUUUAUUUUGACUCAAAGCCUUGUGAUUACCCAAUCGAUUUUGCUGUAGCAGUGAUUGUAACCGGCUCCAUGGCGAGAAGGUUUGUCACCCGUUGCACCAACCCAUACCAGGGCUGGUGGGAGUCACUGCCCUGACCACCGGCAUUACCUCUGAGCACAAAUCUCCCAGACUUAUUGUUGGGGACAAAAUUUUUCUUGCUGCAGAUGAGAGAGGGUGUUAAUAACAGUUUUUGCAGACAUGCCUUCUGUCCUGAUUUAUUGCCACCUUGCCUUAAACCUUGACACCUUCCUACCUCUAGGAGUAGUAACAACUGACCUGGUUCUCCAGGGACCGACUCCUUUAUGCAGCAGUCUGGUUUUUACUCUAUUUGUGUUCAUCUCUUGCUCCCUGUAGCAGCCCAGCCAGGGCCAGGCAUCACCCUUUGAGCAGUGAUAUGCAAUGCUACCUCCAAGAGCUCGGCAAGGGGCUCUGUUGAGUGUCAUACAAUAGAGCAGGAAUUUGGAGAAUUGUACUACCUACAGGUUGAGGAGCAAUCACUGAUGAGGCUCACUCGCUUUCCUCAUCAGAGAGGCUGGAGGUGCUCACAGUGAUGUUUUCUAAACAAGUCAAAAUCUAAGAAUUCACAUAGUUUCAUGAGUAUUUUACCCUUAAGGAAUAUUGCAUAUCUUCAUUAGGAUUCAAAUUCCUUAAAAUUUAAAAUACGUUCACUUCCCCUGCAAUAACUUGCUGAAACAGUAAAAAAUUCUCAAUAUUAUUCAAGUUUGCAGUAAAAUAUUUUUCCUAUUUAUUUACAGGAAGGUCAAUGUUUUAUCCCUGAAUUUUCUUGCAUAUAAUUCUUUUGAAUGAAGUGGGUUCUAUGUCAUCUUUAAUCUUCUAAAUGCAUCUUAUGUCCAAAUUAUAAAUCCUAGAAAGGAGUGACCUAUAAUGAAUUCUUAGCUGCGACUUUAUGGCACAACAAAUACAUUUCUCUAAUAUGCAAACUGUUAAAUGUUUUCUUAUCAUACUAAAAGUGUGAAUUAAAUUAUAAUAUGAUGAAAAAGUAGCAGUUUGCAGUAAUUCCAAAUGUGGCAAGUCUUCAGUAGUGCAUAAAAUUAUUCAGUGAACUGUGGAAAACAUCAGAGCAAUUCUAGCCUUAAAGCUUUUCCUCCAACAACCAAAAAGUGCCAAAAACAAGCAAGCAUAGCUAAGCAUUUCAUCUUGGAAGCAGCUUAUUGAAUUAAUAAGACAAGUCAAUUAAUGUAAUGCUCUGUUGCUUCAGGAUAAAACAUGAAAAGGAAAAAUAUGGAGCUGUUUACUGUAGUGAGAUCAAGCAACCAUGAAGUCUGUAAAGCUAAAGUUGCUCAUUUCUGUAAAUCCUAAGGAAAUGAUCAGCAUGGGCGUUGUAUAGACUCUUUAUAUGUAAGUAAUCUGUGUGAUGCAGAUCUUCUGCUGUCCAGGCACUGGUUUUAAUAUCAAUUACUGCUAUUAUAAGUCUGUUUUCUUUCUAUAUUGCAUAAACUUGGAGCUGAAUAUCCAAUAUAAUUCACACUGGAUUACAUUUGAUGGGUUCACCUGUGUCGCAGGGCAUCUUGGUGCUAACUGGUGAGGAAAGUUACGGCUGGAGUGUGCAGGGUAUUUUGCAUGGGCACUGUUUUAUACUCAGUUUAGGCUGUGCAUUGGGGAGCAGUCAGGAAAAUCGAGAGCUGCAGAUAGAAACUGUCUGUAUUUUGGCAGAGCAGCCCGUGUUUAAAUCAUGGCAAGGUUCCGAUAAAUUGAAAGUUAAGGUUGGUAAUCUUUGCUUUCAGGUCAGUUCUUCACUUUUCAUUUAACUUAAUUCUAGGCUUGUAUGUGCUCAUAAAUCCUGAUUGUAGGUGUCUGUGAAAAAGUGCAUGAGAAGGCUGGAGUCAAUUAGUGAUGAACAACUGGUUUUCCUAUGUAAUAGACCAAAUCUUCCCAGAAAUCCUCAUUAUGCAAACUCUGGGUUUGAUUUGAAAUAAUAAUAAUAUCCCUGAUCAAGAACUUUACCUGUUGUGAUCUCCGAUUUUUCAAUUCUCCUAGCCAAAUCACUGCCUUUGAUUGCAAGGGACUAAUUAGAUCAGUUUAAAUAGGGCUGCUGGGGGUUAAUGGGGACUACAGAAAGAAAUAGACUGUUGGUAGACAUGAGUGACUCAAUUAUUCAGGCACAAGAUGACUUUCAUCCAUCACAGCAAUUUGCGGAGAACAACUCUCCCAUAGCUGUUCUGGUCAAAUUCUGUUGGGACCAUAAGGACAACAGUAGAAUCGGAAACUGAAGACAGCAACACACUGGCCAGGUCUACACUCCCUUCAUGUGGUGUGGUUGGCUUUUGGGGCUCUGCAAGUGUCAAGGCAUUGAAUGGUAUAGCUACAGGAGAUGCUUCAAGGUGGAUUUACUGUAGUGUCCAGGUAGACAUACGGAGUAUUUAAGGGAGGACUGUAUGGACUAGAAAUCAAUGACAACUAUGUGCUAAACCAUUUUCAAAGUUUUUGUCCCCAGAUCUUGAACAGCACUGACUGUAAGAAAUGCUGUCAGCCUUAUUUUCCUUCCCAGCUUUAUUCCGUGGUGGAGAAAGGGGUGUAUUGUGAUUCCACUGUAAGUAUUUUGUGGUAGGUUGCUGCUACAUGCACAGUAAAGAUGUUAUUGUUGAGGAAAAACACUGUGGCACAUGUGAGAGCUUUUGACGGCUGUCUUUAACUCCAAAGUCUCAUAGGUCACAUGUAACAAGCCCCAAAAGCUACAAUAUGAAUAAUUACUGGAGGGAAAAAAAAAAAAGACAUUUUUAACUCAGCAGUGGGGCUCCAAGGCAACAUUAUGAACCAGCAAAUACUGUAGGUCAAAUCCGCUUAUGAGGGAAACUGAUGUAUUUUGGCAGAAAACAUGUGUUGACCCUUACUAUUCAGUCCUCUGGGUUGAAUUCAGUAAUCUCAAUCUGGAGAACCUUUCUAGGAGGCGGGUAAAUCUAUGCCAGUAGGUAACUUUCCCAUUUUACUUGUGCCUGUACCUUUCUCCUAACCCUGCUGAGCACUGGUGAACUAUUUCUAGAAUCUCUGUUGACGUCAGUGAGUAAAAGAUGAAGAACAGCAUUAAACAUUAAGGUAUCUAACAUUUAUUUUCUUUUGUGAAAUAUGUGAAUGCCUGGACUAUCAAUUUGGAGUUGUCUGUUUCUGUUUCUAUUGCCCAGGGAUGAUGUUGACUGUAACAAGAUGCUGAUGGAAAAAGCAUUGCAAGGUGGAAGUCGCAGGUUAUAUGGACUCAACCAUCUCUACGGAAAAUGAAUACCAAGCAAAGAAGAAUGAGCCGUUUCAUUGUCAGGCAAGCUUUAAACGCUGCUUACUGGGAUGUGACUGAGGUACUCAUGAAAGAGAACCUCAUUUUAGGCCACAAUAUUAAUCCUGCCACCGAAGAAGAAACAAAAGCUGCCACCUUCAGAUGAAGUGGAUGUGUUUUCCAAGCCAAGAUUCUCUGCGACGGUGCACUGCUUGCCAUAGCCUCCUUAUGCACGAGAUCCAUCUCCCCAUGGCUUCAGGGAAUGCUGUGGUGGCAGCAAUACCGCUUAGACCAAGGGACCAUCCACACUAACAGCCCGUCUCCGUGAGUGUCCAAUCUGAUCUUCAUGGACAUACAGUACAAGGCUGUUUGCAUUGAAGAUAUCCCAGAUCUUGAGGAACCAGAGCUUCUCGGUGACCCGAACUGCUAAUUCUGGAUGAGAAUUACAGACUCUGUUAGUCACUGGGCAUCACAGGCUGUGAGUGCUCACAUCAUGCUGAAUUAGAUGCUUGUAAUGUUUUGGAGUGGUUUUCAUUGUGCUCUUCUCACAGUCUGGGGAAUACAUGAAGUAUGGAGCUUUUUCAUGCAAGGCUGAUUUGACUGAGACAGAUACCCUGAGCCAUGGGGAAAGAGAGAGGAUACGAUAAAAAGAAGCUUGACUACUCCUGCUUUGUUUGUGUUUUGGUUUGUUGUUGUUGUUGUUGUUCCCCAGCUCCUACUAGUGUGAAUAUGGGAUUGCUUAUAUCUGAAUCCUUUUCAUGAAAAUGCCUGUUUUAAAAGACCAUUAAACUCUAAGCACAAAACUAAUGGAGCUGAGGAGAAAAGCAACUUUCUUCAGAAAACUCUUGAGGUUUGUUUUUCCAGUCCAACCCACACUGCUUUUGUUUUUUAAAUUUUUGUUUGCAAAGCUGUAGAAAAUUUUUAUCAAAAUAUUUAACUUUUAAUGUAUUUAUUCUGCAUGGAUUAACAGACAAAGAAGCACUUGGUUGAAAUGGCAUUUGCUAAUCAUGUGUACCAACCAGAGAGUAAAACUACAGAGAUCUGGUGAUCAGAUUGAAUAUAGGGAAAGAGCAAGAGACUAGCUUAUGUUUGCUGGUGUUUACACAAUUCAAUUGCAUUUUAAAAUGAAUUUGUUCCCAAACAUAAUGCCCAGAGCCUUAGGUGGCUGCAGGGAACUUCCAACUUAGACCGAAUUCAGUGGGCUUCAGCCUGUAAAGUUCAUAAGAACCUUUGCAGGUUGCAUAAGAGCAGUGACCUCUUUUUUACUUGUUCUUGUGCACCACUUGGAGCACAAAGUUUUGAUGCAUGAAGAUACCGGGCUGGGGAUGUUUUCCCCUUGUAUUUCAGUGACAAAUUAUUCUAUUACAGGAAGAUAGUAAAAAUGCACUGAACACCUUCAGAUAUCUACACUUAAACUGAAAUCAAAUCAACAUGAAAAUAAUAACCUUUCCAUCAUCUUCCUCUUGAAUCAAGCCACAUUUGGAAAAAAAAAAUACACAAUCCAUUUGAUUAAAACUUCCUUACUUGUUGAAACUCCCAAACUUGUUGAGUUUCGUAUUUCUCAGUUUUCAAGUCCUUGCAUUAAAUGGCAGCUACUCAGUUGUUCAAAGUGGUGACUAACUGUCCUCUUACAGGUGAUUAACAGGACAUGGGCAGAGGGUGGUGUGAGAGAAAAUGUGCACACACAGCCCAGAAACUCGCAGGCACUUGCUUGUGUCAUGUUAGCUGUUCCAGUGCGUAUUUUAAAGGCGAAGACUUUUUUUUUUUUCCAGAAAGAAUUUUCCUUUAACUUUUCUGCAUAUGUAUUUAGGAAAUUGCUUUAACAAUAUGACAAACUACAUAUGACAAUAAGUAUAAAGGCAUUAUAGUUAACAAUGUAACAAUAUGACAAUACUCACAGUGUCAUAUAUAAUUUUAAUACAUGUUUAUGGAAGACUCUGAAAUAUGAAAACAGAGCAAAGUAUCAUCAUACAUUUUUCAACAGUUUAGAGGGAACUUGCUAUGUAUUAAAAUGUUCCAAGAUUGCUUCUGUGUUUACCAUUAUAAAGCCACAGCAGUUAUCUCUUUUUUGCCUAUGAUAAACUGUACUCAUUUUGUUCAUAUAGAAAUAGAAUCCAAAGCAAUACAGAUAUUAGAUUGUGCUUCCUCCUGAUCAGAGGUAUCAUGUUACUCCAAGGAAUAAGAAACAGAGUUCGUUUUCAAAACCAGUAUGACACUCGUUGCAGGAUGGGAACAUUUUUACUGUAAGUAUAAAGCAUUCCAUUUUACUCUGGUUUCCACCAGAGGAGAUUGAUAUAAAUAAAAUUUAAAUAGAGAACACAUUUCACAGAUGCCAGAAGUGAAAAAGACUUUGUCAGCUUAAUGAAAAGAUACCAAUUUUCUCCACUUUAUUCAAUAAAUUGUGAGUCAUUUUCUAAACGGAUUAGAUUAAAGGAAAGUUCAAACUCCCCAUGAGAGACUCUUAUUCCGAUGGAGACUUUUGGCAAUGGGAAUAGCACAGAGGUAGGUAAAAUCUUUCAGGUAAUUUUGUUCGGUUUGGUUGUUUUUUUAAAAAAACCCUGAUAUAAACUAGAAUAGGAGAAUCUGUAACCCUGUGCUCACCUAUUCCUUAUAAAACAAAAUCUCAGAGAAUUGAAUGAGACAUGAAGUUUCUCUUACUUUAUUGGGAUGUCAUGGGGUAUGGAAUGAAUUACGGGGGUGGGAACACACUUUCUAGGAGGAUGAGAAAACCACAGUGAAAGAACAUGUCCUGUGGAGGGUUAUGUAUUUCAUAAACAGACUGAGAUACCAUUUACUCUGGGAGUUGUAAAGUGGUAGUCUGAUAAGUUAAAGAAUACAAAUCUGAAACAAAAGAUUUCAGGUUGAAUAAUGCUGUCUAGGAGAAAUACCUACAGGGAGUCCAUCAAACUAUCUGCUUUAAUUCAAUCUUACUCAAUUUUAGAAGCAUCAAUCUAAGGCUCACACAGUAUAAUACUUUGCAGACAUUGAUAGCAGACCUCUUGUAACUCUGGGAAAACUGACAUUUCUUCAAUUUAAAAUACAAGCACAGUGCAAUCAGUCUGGCAAGUGAUGUUUCAUAUCUCCUAAUUGCUUCAGAUCCAGUCUUGCUGAGUUAAUUUAAUAUGUUUUAAUUGCAGUAAACAUUAAAAAGAGAUAAUAAUAU